rnacentral:rRNA from 1 species
UACGGAGGGUGCGAGCGUUGUCCGGAAUCACUGGGCGUAAAGGGCGCGUAGGCGGCCUGAUAAGUAGGGGGUGAAAUCUUGCGGCUUAACCGCAAGGCUGCCUUCUAAACUGUCAGGCUAGAGCACAGUAGAGGCAGGUGGAAUUCCCGGUGUAGCGGUGAAAUGCGCAGAUAUCGGGAAGAACACCUAUGGCGAAGGCAGCUCUCUGGGACGGUACUGACGCUGAGACGCGAAAGCGUGGGGAGCGAACAGG